rnacentral:tRNA from 1 species
GCCGGAGUGGCGGAACUGGCAGACGCACCAGACUCAAAAUCUGGCGGGGCUAAUUACCCCGUGCGGGUUCGAAUCCCGCCUCCGGCACCA